GGCGGUGGCCAGGGCCAGCGGCAGGUCGCGGCGGGGCGGCGGGCGGCGGAAGGCGUCGUUGAGGAGGAGGAGGAGGGUGAAGACGAAGGACAAGGCCCAGGCGGACAAGCAGCCGUCACCCUCGCCAGGGUUCCAAUAGCCGGGGGCCGCCGCCAGCGCCAGCGCCAGGAGGGCACUGAGAGCCUGGACACAGCGGAGAGGGGACGGGGGGCGGCACGGAGGGGGCAUCCUGGGGGCUGCGGAGAGAUGGGGAGGUCAUCAGAGGGGUUUUGGGGCUGGGGGCUGCUGGGGGGGCUUGGGGAUGUUGGCAGAGAGCAGCACAGCAGGGGCAUCCCAGAGGCUGGGGAGAAAUCUGGGUUAGUGGGGUGCUGGGUGAGGGGAUUCCCGGUGUUCGGGGGAUCCCGGGAAUGCCGGGGGUCACCAGGAGGGGGUCCCGGGGGGGCUUGAGACUACUGAGGGGACACGGGCGGCACAGCAGGGGCUGUGGAGAAAUGGGGCUGUUGGGGUCAUUGGGGGAUUCCCGGUGUUUGGGGGAUCCCGGGAAUGCCGGGGAACACCAGGAGGGGGUCCCAGGCAUGCCGGGGGUGGGGGCGCUCAGGGCUGUGCCCAUAUAAGGCUCUGGAGAAUCUUCCUCCCCCUCCUCCUCCUCCUCCCUCCGCCCCCCCAUGCUGGGCGCUGGUCACAUCCUGUGGGUGAAGGAGGGGGGGGAGGUCCCGGGAUCCCGGGGGAGACCCCAGAGGGGACCCCAAGGGUCCGGGGGAGGGGGCUGGGCUGGGGCACCCCAGGACCCCCCACCCUGCGUGCCCCUUCCCCACAGCAAGACCCCAGGGUGGGUCCCGGCACUCACCCGAGCGGGUUCGGGUUUUUCCGGGCGAGUUCGGGUGGGUUCUGGGCUGAGUUCGGGUCCCUUCAGGAGGGUUCGGGUCCCCUCAGGAGGGUUCGGGUCCCCUCAGGAGAGGUUCGGAUCCCCUCAGGCGGGUUCGGGACCCCUCAGCCGGGUUCGGGACCCCUCAGGGAGGUUCGGAUCCCCUCAGGGAGGUUCCGGUCCCUUCAGGCGGGCUCGGAUCCCCUCAGGCGGGCUCGGAUCCCCUCAGGGAGGUUCGGCUUCCCUCGGGCGGGCUCGGGUCCCCUCGUGCGGGCUCGGGUCCCCCCGGUUCGGGACGCUCCCGGUUCGGGACAGUUCGGGUGUGUCCGGAGCGGUUCGGGUCCCCUCGGGCGGGUCCCCUUGGGCGGGUUCGGGUCUCUCCGCCGGGCCGGUCCCAGCCGUGUCACUCCGGGCGGUGCCCACCGGGGCGUGGCCAGGGUGUG
rnacentral:lncRNA from 1 species